AGCAGAUCAGUCAGAAACUGGGGGAUCCCAUUAAACCACACUGUGGAAAGCAGUAUUCCUGAGAACAGAGUGCUACUCCACUCUAGGCAGACAAAGCAGUAGCCACCAGCUAUCUGCACAGUCCUUCCCUUCUCUGGAACAGAUCCCAAACAGUGCUGGGAAGACCUCAGCAGCACAGUUGGACCACCUAUGUGCUCCUUCCGCCCUCAUUACUUGUACAUCCUGGAUCCCUGGAUUUCUUAGCUAAUGCUGGGUUGGCAGAAAUGAGGGGGAGGGGAGCAGUAGAAUCCUGCCCUAAAUUGCAGCCAGUCAUCUGAGGUCAUUUUUUCCUUGUCAAUGCUAUAUCCCCAGAGGGUUGGACCCUUCUCUAUUCUGUUAUGCUUUAUUCAGACAAUUUCUAGAACAAUGUUGGCCAGUAUAGAUGAUUCCCGUCAUUUUAUCUCUACUACCUAGGUCCAAAGAUUCCCCCCACAACCUUGUGAAUCUCUGACUCAGUGUUAUUAGUCUUAAAAACCCAGGUGCUGAACCAGACUAUGCUGUGCUCCUCUUUGGAGUGAAUCUUGGAUUAUCAAAUAAUCAAAUAAUGGCUAAGAUCAGCCCUUGUUUCCCCAUGUCCCUGCUUAGUGCCAGCUCUGUCUUCAUCCCCUCCCAGGCUUGGCCACCCUUCUGCUGAGAUGCACCCUAGCAUGUUGCCCAUAAAGGAAUGUGAAAAAAGUAUCUACACUUCUGAAGAUAGUGUGCUCCACCCUUCAAAGCUUUAGGAAGAUAAAUUUAGACAUAAAACAGGAAGUAUUUCUCUGUGUGGCUAAGAGUGAUCUAAGAGAAGUUAUUUCCUCAAGAUAUUUUGAAGCUGUAGUGUGGGGAAACAGUUCUCAAACCCCAGUGUGGAUCAGGAUCACCUGGAGGGCUUACUAAGCUACAUAUUGUUGGGUCCACCCCAGAGUUUCGAUUCAGUCGAUCAGGGGAUCAGAGGUGGGGCCUAAGAAUUUGCAUGUUUUUAACUCUUUUUUUUUUUUUUUUUUUUUGAGAUGGAGUCUCGCUCUGUCACCCAGGCUGGAGUACAGUGGCAAGAUCUCGACUCACUGCAACCUCUGCCUGCCG
rnacentral:lncRNA from 10 species